CCAGACUCCUACGGGAGGCAGCAGUGGGGGAUAUUGCACAAUGGGGGGAACCCUGAUGCAGCGACGCCGCGUGGGUGAAGAAGCGCCUCGGCGCGUAAAGCCCUGUCAGCAGGGAAGAAAAUGACGGUACCUGAUUAAAAAGCCCCGGCUAACUACGUGCCAGCAGCCGCGGUAAUACGUAGGGGGCAAGCGUUAUCCGGAUUCACUGGGUGUAAAGGGAGCGUAGACGGCCAAGCAAGCCAGGGGUGAAAGCCCGGGGCCCAACCCCGGGACUGCCCUUGGAACUGCUUGGCUGGAGUGCGGGAGGGGCAGGCGGAAUUCCUGGUGUAGCGGUGAAAUGCGUAGAUAUUAGGAGGAACACCAGUGGCGAAGGCGGUCUGCUGGACAGCAACUGACGGUGAGGCGCGAAAGCGUGGGGAGCAAACAGGAUUAGAUACCCCGGUAAAC
rnacentral:rRNA from 1 species